rnacentral:rRNA from 1 species
GUCAGCAGCCAUAUCACCCUUUAACUCACAACUGGCAACCCAGUGAAGCUAAACAGGUGUGUGCCUGGUGAGUACCUGGAUGGGAGACCUCCUGGGAAAAACUAAGGUUGCUGCUGGAA